rnacentral:rRNA from 1 species
CACGUAGGGGGCAAGCGUUGUCCGGAUUUAUUGGGCGUAAAGAGCUCGUAGGCGGCUUAGUAAGUCGGGUGUGAAACCUCCAGGCUCAACCUGGAGACGCCACCCGAUACUGCUGUGGCUAGAGUCCGGUAGGGGAGCGUGGAAUUCCUGGUGUAGCGGUGAAAUGCGCAGAUAUCGAGAGGAACACCUGCGGCGAAGGCGGGUUGCUGGGCUGACACUGACGCUGAGGCGCGAAAGCCAGGGGAGCGAACGGG